GUGCCAGCAGCCGCGGUAAUACAGAGGGCCCGAGCGUUGCGCGGAAUCACUGGGCUUAAAGGGUGCGUAGGCGGAGGCGUAAGUGUCUUGUGAAAGCCCACGGCUCAACCGUGGAACUGCUGGGCAUACUGCGUCUCUUGAGGCUGGUAGGCGCCGCCGGAACUGUAGGUGUAGCGGUGAAAUGCGUAGAUAUCUACAGGAACGCCGAUGGUGAAGACGGGCGGCUGGGCCAGUUCUGACGCUGAGGCACGAAAGCGUGGGGAUCAAACAGGAUUAGAUACCCUCGUAGUCC
rnacentral:rRNA from 1 species